AGGGACUUGCUGCCGUUCAGCUGCACGUGUGCCCGGAGCGUCCGCCCCGCUGAAGAGGGGGAGGCCUGGCUAACAAUAGAGCUCUGUCUCUCCCCAAGCUUUCUGGAACAGCGGAAAAGAAGAGCAACCUCGGCUCCUUGAAUGCAGCACCACGGUACCUCCCGCGGCGUGGAAGGUACUCGCUGAGUGCUCGAGGGUCGUCUUAGAUACCUUUUUAACUGAAGCAUAACUACUCCAAAAACGUGCUCAAAUCGUGGAGACAGAGCUCGGUGCCUCCUCAGAGUGGACCUUCCUGGAUCAUCCAGUCCAGAUCGGAAGAGAAUCUAAUUCACGCACCAUUUGGUUUGGGAAGAAAGACCUGUGGAAAAGACGGGGCUUUUUCAGCUGGAGCCUUUCUCCCCAUCCUCCCGAGCUCGCCCAAGGCUCCCCACCCACACUGGGUGGGAAAACCAUCUAGCGAGAGUUUCACCCCUCAUUUCGCAAAUGGCGCUGAAGCCCCCAGGGCUGGGAGACGUCACCUCUGCACUGCCCGCCAGCACGGAGACCCCAGACCGGCUGGAACCAGGAUGCUGCUGCCGAUUCCCAGUGACCUCACCACCCACCCAUCAGGAAAAUGUCCACGAGCUGAGCCUGCCCUGCUCCCUGACACCCUAAGAUGCCUCACAGCCCCCUGCAGGGGGCACAGUCCUGGAGGCGCUAGCCUGCUGUGUCCCCUCUUUGCCAUUAGAGCUACUUUCUCUGUUUCCUCCAACUCUGACUCCGUGUUUCUAUUUGGCCUCAGUGGACAGAGGCAGCCGAGAUUUCAGCAACGUGACCAGCCCCCCUCCACCCCCACCCCCACCCUCAUGACUGCAACAGCGCUAAUUCCCCGGAAGCCCACCCAGUCUAUGCAGACAAGGCGAGGCGGCAAGAAUUUUCUCUCCAGAGCCCAAGAUGCAAGUCCGAGUGUUUGCAGAUGCCUCGAGGAGGCUUUUCCGACGGCUUCUUUACACUUAGAGUGGGAUGGUGUUUACUCAAAACCACCAGUGACCUCUGAGCCAUCAGACGCAGCGCUUUGUCCUCUGGCCUCAGCCUCUUCCACGCUGUGGGCCACCUCCCCUCUGAAACGCUGCCUUCUUGGUUUCCGUGACCCUGAAGCACCCCUGUGUACGCUCUCUGGCUGCUUCUUCUGGUCUCCUGGGCCUCGUGAUUUGUCAGCUGAGAUUCAUUUUGGCUGAAAGCCACGGAGACCCGCAGUUACAGUGGCUGAAACAAGCUCGUGGUUCCUCGCUCCCUCGUGUCAAAGGCUGGGGAUCAGCAAGCCAGGGCCAGUGUGGCGAAGCACGGAGUCAUCGAGAGUCCUGACCCCAGGCCAGCGACCCGUGCUCCAUCCCUAGGGGGCAGCACCCAUCCUCGUGGUCCAGGGAGGCUGCUGGAACUCCAGCCCUUCACCUCAGAGUUCCAGGAAGCAGGACGGAACUUGGCUCAGAGCAAAAGGGGACAAAGAGAACAUCCUGUCUCCGUUAGGACAGGUUCCUGAGAGCACUUACAGGACACUGAUUCUUAAAUCUCUUGGAUAAAAUUAGUCCCUUGGCCUGAACCUAGUGACGAGGGAUGCUGGGCUAUGUAGCCUCUAUUUCAGAUAAUUCUGUGCCCAAAUUUAAAAUGCGGAUCCUGUCAUUAAGGAAGAGAAGAAUGAAUGAUAAUGGACAAUCCCUAGUCUGCUCGUACCCACAGAUUUGGGGGCCAUGAGGGGCGUGGCCACAGGGGGGUCAACGGUUUUUUUCCUUCCACAUGUAAGUGAUGCCAUACAGUG
rnacentral:lncRNA from 1 species